rnacentral:rRNA from 1 species
CCUACGGGUGGCAGCAGUAGGGAAUCUUCCACAAUGGGCGAAAGCCUGAUGGAGCAACACCGCGUGAGUGAAGAAGGGUUUCGGAUCGUAAAACUCUGUUGUUGGAGAAGAACGUGCGUGAGAGUAACUGUGCACGCAGUGACGGUAUCCAACCAGAAAGUCACGGCUAACUACGUGCCAGCAGCCGCGGUAAUACGUAGGUGGCAAGCGUUAUCCGGAAUUAUUGGGCGUAAAGCGAGUGUAGGCGGUUUGUUAAGUCUGAUGUGAAAGCCCUCGGCUCAACCGUAGAAGGGCAUUGGAAACCGUGAGACUUGAGUGCAGAAGAGGACAGUGGAACUCCAUGUGUAGCGGUGGAAUGCGUAGAUAUAUGGAAGAACACCAGUGGCGAAGGCGGCUGUCUGGUCUGCAACUGACGCUGAGGCUCGAAAGCAUGGGUAGCGAACAGGAUUAGAUACCCUAGUAGUC